AGCUCGAAGCUUCUGACCCGAAGGGAGAGCGCCGACCCGGAAGAGAAAUCCGACCGGAAACCGCUUCUCCGGCCACCGACCGACGACGCCCGACCACCGAUGUCUUCCUCUCGUCAUCGCCGUCACGAUUUUGGCCUCAGAUCAUCCAUGCAACAGCGGUGAGCGGAGCAGCAACGACAGGAAGCCCCGAGCCUUCUCCGGCCAUCUCUGCAAUUUCCGGCCACCAUUCAAGGCGCAUUCGCUUUUCUUGGUUCAUUCUGGCUUCGCUGCUCCUGUUGACGAAGGCUGACCACGAUUUGGAACUGGGUUCGGGAACUCGCUGGGUUGUGGGCAUCGAAUCAGCAGUUUAUCAUCGACUUUGUCCUGGAGAACCGAGUUUGAGCACCCAGGCAACAGUUUUCGAAUCAAAGCUUUCAAAGGACUCCAGUUACCCGAGGAACGGAAGGUUCGCGACUCUCGGAGUACGUGAGAGAAAGCAUCAGAAUCCAGGUAGGGAUUCAGGACUCUCCUCGGUUGGUGAUUUUCUUUUAUAUUUUAUUAAUGUGAUGCAUGAUAAGUGGUAUGGGUUGGUUAUGUAAAAUGCAAUGCAUACUAACCAAUCUAUGAGAAAAUGUGUGAUGGCUUGAGAGCGAAGGGUGGCUCUGACUUCCUUGGGUUCGAUCCCCUUAACCUCCGGAGGGUUAGUUACGCCGGUCGUCCGGGUAUUCCGAUUGUAAUGACGGGCCCGGUACGUGUGUGUAGCUAGGUAGUGGACGCUCUCGCUACGCUUACCUGGUGAUAAAUUAAUUUGAGGUAAGGUCGUGUAGUGGGUCUAUGGGACCGGCCAUCAGGUAAUACUUGGUUUUGGCGCCGUAUUUAUUUAAGCAUCAUGCAUCGGUUUUCAAGUUGAAAAUCAUUAAAGUUUGUCGUUCUUUUAAAUAUUUGGUUUAAAUAUGUUUUCAUACUGGGCAGCCCAAAUAUUUGUUUAUUGGUUUUAAAUCUAGUUGAGGUAGAGUUCCUGUAGAGCAGCGAGGACGAA